AGGAUUCCCCUAGUAACGGCGAGUGAAGAGGGAAAAGCUCAAAUUUAAAAUCUGGCGGUCUCCGGCCGUCCGAGUUGUAGUUUAGAGAGGUGUUUUCUGCGUCGGACCACACACAAGUCCUUUGGGAUAAGGCUUCAUAGAGGGUGAGAAUCCCGUACAUGGUGUGGACUACCGGGGCUAUGUGAUGCACCCUCAAAGAGUCGAGUUGUUUGGGAAUGCAGCUCAAAAUGGGUGGUAAAUUCCAUCUAAAGCUAAAUAUUGGGGAGAGACCGAUAGCGCACAAGUACCGUGAGGGAAAGGUGAAAAGCACUUUGGAAAGAGAGUUAAACAGUACGUGAAAUUGCUGAAAGGGAAACGCUUGGAGUCAGUCGCGUCCUUCUGGACUCAGCCGUGGUUCUCCUCGGUGUACUUCCAGUUGGAUGGGCCAGCAUCGAUUUUGUUCGCCGUACAAAGGCGUGAGGAAUGUGGCACUCUUCGGGGUGUGUUAUAGCCUCGCGUUGUAUGCGGUGGGUGGGAUCGAGGAACGCAGCGCGCCGCAAGGCUGGGAUUCGUCCACAUACGCGCUUCGGAUGCUGGCGUAAUGGCUUUAAGCGA
rnacentral:rRNA from 1 species